AAACCAGUCUCCCUCACCGCGUUCACACCUUAACGCGCUUCCUUCGUCCCUGCAUCUUCUUCUCUUCUCGCAGACAAAGAAACCAUUUUUAUAAAUGUCCGAAACCAGAACCCUCGAAACCCAAAUCAUUGUCUGAACUCAAACACUUUGGAAGCUUUUUAAAGUUUGGUUUCACAUCUAAACAAGGUCAAACACUUUUCAAACCAAAAAAAAAAACUAAGUCAAACUCUGGAGAAUAAACUAUUUCCCUCUUUAAUGGAAGUCUCUGCUUUCCCAUUCCCAUACCUACAAGACGACGAGUGUUCCCAUCUCCUCGGCCUAUUUCAAGACAUGGACUCUACUCCUUCUGGUUUUGAAUUCGAAAAUGUUGGUAACGACAACACUAGGAAACGCCCAAGAAAGGAAGAAGAAGAAGAAGAAGUGAAUGGUAGUGAUAAGGCUGCAUCUGGAGAUAUACUCGCCACACUUCUGCUAUUGGACGAGGAAGCUAAACAGCAAGUGAAGACAAUGGAUGGUUACUACAACCACGAUGUUGCUCGUCCUAAACGACAGCGUAAAGCAGCGGUUGAGGAAACGGCCUCCCCUGCUUCGGACAUCGCUAGCGGUUCCGGGUCUGGACCGAGUCAUCACAGGAGGUUGUGGGUGAAGGAACGUACGACGGACUGGUGGGACCGAGUGAGCCGGCCGGACUUCCCGGAGGAGGAGUUCCGGCGAGAGUUUCGGAUGAGCAGACCGACGUUCGAUCUGAUAUGCGAGGAGCUGGACGCGACGGUGACGAAGAAAAACACGAUGCUCCGCGACGCGAUCCCAGCUCCCAAACGCGUCGCAGUCUGCGUCUGGCGUUUGGCAACAGGAGCUCCGCUUCGCCACGUGUCGGAGCGCUUCGGGCUGGGAAUCUCCACGUGUCACAAGCUCGUCAUCGAGGUCUGCCGCGCGAUCUACGACGUCAUGAUGCCGAAGUAUCUCCACUGGCCUGCGUCGGAUCCCGAGAUCCAAUCGACGAAAAGAAAAUUCGAAUCGAUCCACAAAAUCCCAAACGUCGUCGGAUCGAUAUACACCACGCACGUUCCCAUCAUCGCUCCGAAAGUCCACGUGGCGGCUUAUUUCAACAAGAGGCACACGGAGAGAAACCAGAAGACGUCGUACUCGAUCACGGUCCAGGGGGUGGUCAACGCCGAGGGGAUCUUCACCGACGUCUGCAUCGGGAACCCGGGGUCCCUCACCGACGACCAGAUCCUCGAUAAAUCCUCGCUUUCGCAGCAGCGCGCGGCGCGUGGGAUGCUACGCGACGGGUGGAUCGUCGGGAACGGUGGUUUCUCGUUGACGGACUGGCUUUUGGUGCCGUACGCGAGGCAGAACCUGACGUGGACGCAGCACGCGUUCAACGAGAGCGUCGGAGGGAUUCAGAAGGUGGCGACGGAGGCGUUCGGGAGGUUGAAAGGGCGGUGGGCUUGUCUGCAGAAGAGGACGGAGGUUAAGCUGCAGGAUCUUCCGUACGUGCUGGGUGCUUGCUGCGUGUUGCAUAACAUUUGUGAGAUGAGGAAGGAGGAGAUGGCGGAGGGGGUGAAGUUCGAGGUGUUUGAUGAUGUGACGGUGCCGGAGAAUAAUAUUCGAUCCGUGGCUGCGUCUAGCGCGAGGGAUCAGAUCUCUCAUAAUCUCUUGCAUCGUGGCCUCGCUGGGACAAGGGCUCUGUAAACUAAAAUGUGGAUUCUGUUUUGUCUUGAAACUGAUUUUUUUUUUUUUUUUUUUUGCAAAAUUCUUUUUCCAGAUUAGUUAAUACUUAGAAGAGAUUGGAUACAAAAAGCAUAGUUGAUUUGAGUGUAGUAAUUGGCUGGAUUUGUCUGUACGAUUAUAUUAACAAUGUGUAAUCGUUAGUUCUGUAUUGUUCUCUAUACAAAUUGAAUUCGAAACCUUCUAAAGCAUUUUUCUUU